AUGCAUAAAUGUACUUGGAAUUUUUUUUUAAAGUACUUUAUAAUACUGUAUUUCAUAUAUUGUUAUUAUAGAAUCCAAACUGCUCUUUAUGUGUAUAUACAUACAUACAUACAUACAUAUACAUACAUAUAUAUCAGGAAUUAUCUGAGUGACAGGACUCAGUGCAUUAAAUGUGAUGGUCUAUGUUCUGCAUUAGUGAAGGUCCACAAGGGAGUGCCACAAGGCUCAAUAUUAGGACCUCUCUUGUUUAUUAUGUAUAUAAAUGAACUUGGCCACAAUGUGUCGGAUGCUAAUAUGCAUUUCUAUGCUGAUGACACGAUUAUUUAUUGUUUUGGAUCGUCCCCAGCUAAAGCGGUUGAAUCUUUGCAGAAAGCUUUUGAUGUGGUUCAACGUACGCUUAUGCAGCUUAAACUGGUUCUCAAUGCUGAUAAGACCAAACUGAUGCUGUUUAGAAAUACUAAGAAGGUUUCUCAAGCUCCUCCUCCUGUGUUCACUUUGACUGGAAGUGUCAUAGAGGUGGUUCAUUCUUAUAAGUACCUUGGUAUCUGGCUUGAUGAUGCUCUCACUUUUAAGCCUCAUAUAGACAACCUUGUGAAGAAACUCAAGCUUAAACUGUCCUUUUUCUUUCGAAAUAAAUUUUGUUUUUCUUUUAAAGCAAAAAAGCAGCUAGUCACUGCAACAUUUUUAUCUGUCUUAGAUUAUGGAGACCUGGUGUAUAGGACCGCUUCAGCACAAUGUCUGUAUAAGAUUGACACUGUUUAUCAUGCGUCUCUGAGAUUUAUUACGAAUUGUAAAAACUUGACCCAUCAUUGUGAAUUAUAUUCCAGAGUGGGAUGGCCAUCGUUGUCCAACAGGAGAUCAGGGCACUGGCAUACUUUUAUCUAUAAGGCCAUGCUUGGUCUUUUGCCAUCCUACAUCUGUAGUUUAAUAACAUGGAGAAGUGUUAGUUCUUAUUCAUUGCGAUCAAAUGAUCACUUGCUGCUCAUUGUUCCAUUUGCCCGUACAGAACUGGGAAAAAGGGCUUUUGUCUACUCAGCUCCUUCUGCAUGGAACUUAUUGCAAAAAGACUUGAAAUUAUCUGAACUUAUUUCCUUAAAUGCUUUUAAGUCCAGAUUGAGAGAACCAGAAAUGACCUGUUUAAAUAUUGUCAUAGAAUUAAAAUAG
ensembl:lncRNA